rnacentral:rRNA from 1 species
AAGCUAGUAAGAUCCCAUGUAGACGACAUGGUAGAUAGGCCAGGUGUGGAAGAGCCGUGAGGUUUGGAGCUGACUGGUACUAAUCGAUCGAGGGCUUUACUUA